UUGCAGCCAGGUGCCUGGGCUGGGAUCCACCGUGGGCAGUCGGCGCCGGUGCUGUGUUUCUGCAGCACAGGAGCAGGGGCAUCCCUGGGCUGCACAGUUCUAAUGGCAGUGAGGACUCCAGCUCCCCACCGUGUCCAGUGGCUGAGCUCAGCUGCAGAGGGACAGGAUAAAACCCUCUUUGUGACCUCUGGUGGUGUGGGAAAAGUGAAGGAAAUUUUCCUCUGGGUUGAACAAGAAAGUCACAAAGUCUCUUUGGGCACCAUCUGUUUCAGUGCCACCAGCAGAGCUGUUACUAUGGUGGCAGGCACUUUCAUGGAGACUCCAAGGCCUCUUUCCAUUGUUAUUGCUGUCUAUUUUAGAUGGAUUCUGCUUCUGCAUUUUUUAAAAGAGGAGAAAAAAAACCUUGAUGAUUUUUGUUUUAUGGCAGCUGUGCUUAAGGGACCAACAAGCACUGCAGAGAUUAUUUUCAUGUAAUAAUCCUUGGAAAUAGUAUAGAUAGAGCAAAACUCCCCUUCCAAAUUGCCUGUCAGGUGUGUGUGAAUCCUCAGAGAAACAAAACAUGCUUUUGUUGAUGUAGUUCCCACUGAGUAGGUCAGUCAAUGAAAUCAGCUGCCAAGGCAAGAUCUGCUGAAUGUUGGAAAAGCUGUGGCUGCAUCGGGGUUUGGGUGUUUGGUUGGUGAAGGAAAGGCAUCUCUGGGUCUCUGCCAGGGCAGAAACUGCCACUGAAGAACAGGGGUUAAACAAUGGGAUCUGGGAGAGCAGUUACAGAUGUGAAAGCAGCAGGUGGAGACUCGUGUUUCCUUUUCCCCAGCCUCGACUCAUGAUAGCCAGACGAGGGAUACCAAAGCUGCUGCAGCCCAACCUGUUUUCACCUUGGCUGUGUGACUUCCUGAGCUGCUGCCUGCAGACAGACAAGGAGCAGCGCUGGUCUGCCAAGGAGCUCCUGCAGCAUCCAUUUAUAACAUCUGCUGAGCCUGCAUCCAGCCUGGUGCCACUGCUUGUUGCAGUGCGGAAGAGGAAGGAGACAAGACAGCACCACUUAGUUAUCAACCACCUUAGAGCAGGAUUGUAGGUUAGGAUAAGGGUAAGGUUUAGGGUUAGGGUUAGGCUUAGGUUUAGGCUUAGGCUUAGGCUUAGACUUAGGUUUAGGCUUAGAUUUAGGCUUAGUUUAGGCUUAGGUUUAGGCUUAGGCUUAGGCUUAGACUUAGGUUUAGGCUUAGAUUUAGGCUUAGUUUAGGCUUAGGUUUAGGCUUAGGCUUAGGUUUAGGCUUAGAUUUAGGCGUAAGUUUAGGCUUAGGCUUAGGUUUAGGCUUAGGCUUAGGGUUAGGCUUAGGACUAGGUUUAGUGCUGCGGUUAUGGUUAGAGUUACUGUUAUGACUAGGUUUAGGUUUAGGUUUAGUGUUAGGGUUACAACUAGUCUUAAGGGGUUAGGGUUAGGGUAUGAUUUUGUAAUAGGUGUGCAGAGUAGGAUUUUAAAUUAAUAAAAAAAUUCAAACCAAAA